rnacentral:rRNA from 1 species
UACGUAGGGUGCAAGCGUUAAUCGGAAUUACUGGGCGUAAAGCGUGCGCAGGCGGUUUUGUAAGUCUGUCGUGAAAUCCCCGGGCUCAACCUGGGAAUUGCGAUGGAGACUGCAAGGCUGGAGUCUGGCAGAGGGGGGUAGAAUUCCACGUGUAGCAGUGAAAUGCGUAGAGAUGUGGAGGAACACCGAUGGCGAAGGCAGCCCCCUGGGUCAAGACUGACGCUCAUGCACGAAAGCGUGGGGAGCAAA